GACGAACGCUGGCGGCGUGCUUAACACAUGCAAGUCGAACGAAGAGCGACGGAAGCUUGCUUCUAUCAAUCUUAGUGGCGAACGGGUGAGUAACGCGUAAUCAACCUGCCCUUCAGAGGGGGACAACAGUUGGAAACGACUGCUAAUACCGCAUACGAUCUAACCUCGGCAUCGAGGAUAGAUGAAAGGUGGCCUCUACAUGUAAGCUAUCACUGAAGGAGGGGAUUGCGUCUGAUUAGCUAGUUGGAGGGGUAACGGCCCACCAAGGCGAUGAUCAGUAGCCGGUCUGAGAGGAUGAACGGCCACAUUGGGACUGAGACACGGCCCAGACUCCUACGGGAGGCAGCAGUGGGGAAUCUUCCGCAAUGGAUGAAAGUCUGACGGAGCAACGCCGCGUGAGUGAUGACGGCCUUCGGGUUGUAAAGCUCUGUUAAUCGGGACGAAAGGCCUUCUUGCGAAUAGUGAGAAGGAUUGACGGUACCGGAAUAGAAAGCCACGGCUAACUACGUG
rnacentral:rRNA from 1 species